UUAAUUGAUCAUGGCUCAGACCCACGGUGGUAGCGUGCCUAAUACAUGCAAGUCGAGCGGUCCCUUCGGGGAUAGCGGCGAACGGGUGAGUAACACGUAGGCAACCUGCCUAUAAGACUGGGAUAACUAUCGGAAACGAUAGCUAAGACCGGAUAACUGGUUUUCUCGCAUGAGAGAAUCAUGAAACACGGAGCAAUCUGUGGCUUAUAGAUGGGCCUGCGGCGCAUUAGCUAGUUGGUAGGGUAACGGCCUACCAAGGCGACGAUGCGUAGCCGACCUGAGAGGGUGAACGGCCACACUGGGACUGAGACACGGCCCAGACUCCUACGGGAGGCAGCAGUAGGGAAUCUUCCGCAAUGGACGCAAGUCUGACGGA
rnacentral:rRNA from 1 species